rnacentral:rRNA from 1 species
GGGCUCACGGCCUAUCAGCUUGUUGGUGGGGUAAUGGCUCACCAAGGCGACGACGGGUAGCCGGCCUGAGAGGGUGACCGGCCACACUGGGACUGAGACACGGCCCAGACUCCUACGGGAGGCAGCAGUGGGGAAUAUUGCACAAUGGGCGGAAGCCUGAUGCAGCGACGCCGCGUGAGGGAUGACGGCCUUCGGGUUGUAAACCUCUUUCAGCACGAAAGAAGCGAGAGUGACGGUACGUGCAGAAGAAGCGCCGGCUAACUACGUGCCAGCAGCCGCGGUAAUACGUAGGGCGCAAGCGUUGUCCGGAAUUAUUGGGCGUAAAGAGCUCGUAGGCGGUUUGUCGCGUCUGCUGUGAAAGCCCGGGGCUUAACCCCGGGUGUGCAGUGGGUACGGGCAGACUUGAGUGCAGUAGGGGAGACUGGAAUUCCUGGUGUAGCGGUGAAAUGCGCAGAUAUCAGGAGGAACACCGAUGGCGAAGGCAGGUCUCUGGGCUGUUACUGACGCUGAGGAGCGAAAGCAUGGGGAGCGAACAGGAUUAGAUACCCUGGUAGUCCAUGCCGUAAACGUUGGGCACUAGGUGUGGGGAACAUUC